rnacentral:rRNA from 1 species
CAAUAGCGUAUAUUAAAGUUGUUGCAGUUAGAACACUCGUAGUCGGAUUUCGGGGCGGGGCGACCGGUCUGCCGAUGGGUAUGCACUGGUCGGCGCGUCCUUCCUUCCGGAGACCGUUCCUACUCUUAACUGAGCGGGGGCGGGAGACGGAUCGUUUACUUUGAAAAAAUCAGAGUGUUUCAAGCAGGCAGCUCGCUCUUGCAUGGAUUAGCAUGGGAUAAUGAAAUAGGACUUUGGUGCUAUUUUGUUGGUUUCGACCACCGAAGUAAUGAUUAAAAGGGACAGUCAGGGGCACUCGUAUUCCGCCGAGAGAGGUGAAAUUCUCAGACCAGCGGAAGACGAACCACUGCGAAAGCAUUUGCCAGGGAUGUUUUCACUGA